GACGAACGCUGGCGGCGUGCUUAACACAUGCAAGUCGAACGAUAAAGCGGUGCUUGCACGGUGGGUUCGUGGCGCACGGGUGAGUAAUACGCGAGUGACCUCCCUUUUACUCUGGGAUAAGCCUUGGAAACUGGGUCUAUUAUCCGGUACGGCAGAUCUCGCCACGGGGUGUGGGUGGGAAGCGUUAUGCGGUGGUGUUAGAUGGGCUCUCGGCCUAUCAGCUUGGUGGGGAGGUAAUGGCUGACCAAGGCGACGACGGGUAGGCGGCCUGGGAGGGUGACCGGCCACAUUGGGACUGAGAUACGGCCCAGACUCCUACGGGAGGCAGCAGUGGGGAAUAUUGCACAAUGGGCGGAAGCCUGAUGCAGCGACGCCGCGUGAGGGAUGACGGCCUUCGGGUUGUAAACCUCUGUCAGCAUUGAAGAAGCGAGAGUGACGGUAGGGGGAGAGAAAGCGCCGGCUAACUACGUG
rnacentral:rRNA from 1 species